GAUGAACGCUAGCUACAGGCUUAACACAUGCAAGUCGAGGGGCAGCGGGAUUGAAGCUUGCUUCAAUUGCCGGCGACCGGCGCACGGGUGAGUAACGCGUAUCCAACCUUCCGUACACUCAGGGAUAGCCUUUCGAAAGAAAGAUUAAUACCUGAUGGUAUGAUGAGAUUGCAUGAUAUCAUCAUUAAAGAUUUAUCGGUGUACGAUGGGGAUGCGUUCCAUUAGGUAGUAGGCGGGGUAACGGCCCACCUAGCCAACGAUGGAUAGGGGUUCUGAGAGGAAGGUCCACCACAUUGGAACUGAGACACGGUCCAAACUCCUACGGGAGGCAGCAGUGAGGAAUAUUGGUCAAUGGACGAGAGUCUGAACCAGCCAAGUAGCGUGAAGGAUGAAGGUCCUACGGAUUGUAAACUUCCUUUAUAAGGGAAUAAACCCUCCCACGUGUGGGAGCUUGUAUGUACCUUAUGAAUAAGCAUCGGCUAACUCCGUG
rnacentral:rRNA from 1 species